rnacentral:rRNA from 1 species
UAUUGAAGAGUUUGAUCCUGGCUCAGAUUGAACGCUGGCGGCAUGGCUAAAACAUGCAAGUCGAACGCGUGUAGCAAUACACGAGUGGCGAAAGGGCGAGGAAUAGAUUCCUACGUACCCCGGAGUCAGGGAUAACCAUCGGAAACGGUGGCUAACACCUGAUGAUCUCGAAAG